AGUCAGCUUAUUCAUGUGAUGGGGUUGUGAUUAUAAACCCAGGAACCUGUAUAACCUCUCAACAGUUUAACGGUUAAGAUUUCCUUUGUCCAAGAAGCUCAGCACAAAUCCCAGAGCCUUUAAAGCUAACUUCUACCUCAGGAAGCAGCAAGUUAAAAGUUUGCACCCUUGGUGAGCGGAGCGAGUUUUCACGGUGCUUACGCUGGUUGCAGAAUAAAAUCAAUUGCACCCGUUAGAGACUCUCUGCCUUGUAUUCAGAAGCCAAGGGCUGCGAC